GUACUCUGACCGUGCAAAGGUAGCAUAAUCAUUUGCCUUAUAAUUGAAGGCUGGAAUGAAUGGUUUGACAAGAAUGUAUCUGUCUCCUUUAGAUUGUUUAAAAUUUUAUUUCUGGAUGAAAAAGUUCAGAUUUAAUUAAAAGACAAGAAGACCCUAUCGAGCUUUAGAAAAAUUAAUGGACUUAAUAUAAUUAAUAUUGAUAAAGAAAGCUAUUAAAUACUUUGAUUGGGGCAAUCGAGGAGCAGCUAAAACCUCCUUUAGUGAUAGUGAGUCUCACCUGUGUUGAUCCAAGAAUUUUGAUUAAAGGAAUUAGUUACCGUAGGGAUAACAGCAUUAUCUUUUUUAAGAGCCCAUAUCGAAAAAAAGGUUUGUGACCUCGAUGUUGGACCA
rnacentral:rRNA from 1 species